AAAUUUUUGAUCUCUUUGGAAUUUAUCUUGAUGGGACCCUUGCAUUAGUUGCUUGAGUGUCCCGA